rnacentral:tRNA from 2 species
GCCAGAGGAGCUUGGGCGGUUCAAGCACCCGACUUGUAAUCGGGAGUUCGGGGGUUCAAAUCCCCCCUCUGGCU